rnacentral:rRNA from 1 species
AGUGAACGCUGGCGGUAGGCCUAACACAUGCAAGUCGAACGGCAGCACAGUAAGAGCUUGCUCUUACGGGUGGCGAGUGGCGGACGGGUGAGGAAUACAUCGGAAUCUACUUUUUCGUGGGGGAUAACGUAGGGAAACUUACGCUAAUACCGCAUACGACCUACGGGUGAAAGCAGGGGAUCUUCGGACCUUGCGCGAUUGAAUGAGCCGAUGUCGGAUUAGCUAGUUGGCGGGGUAAAGGCCCACCAAGGCGACGAUCCGUAGCUGGUCUGAGAGGAUGGUCAGCCACACUGGAACUGGGCCACGGUCCAGACUCCUACGGGAGGCAGCAGUGGGGAAUAUUGGACAAUGGGCGCAAGCCUGAUCCAGCCAUACCGCGUGGGUGAAGAAGGCCUUCGGGUUGUAAAGCCCUUUUGUUGGGAAAGAAAAGCAGCAGGUUAAUACCCCGCUGUUCUGACGGUACCCAAAGAAUAAGCACCGGCUAACUUCGUG